GCCAGGUGCCGUGGCGCACACCUGUCAUCCCAGAGGCUCAGGAGGCUGAGGCAGGAGGAUCAUGAGUUCAAAGCCAGCCUCAGCACAAGCGAGGCCCUAAGCAACUCAGUGAGACCCUGUCUCUA
rnacentral:sRNA from 1 species